rnacentral:rRNA from 1 species
UACGGAAUGUGCAAACGUUAUUCGGAAUCACUGGGCUUAAAGAGUCCGUAGGCGGCUUGUUAGGUGAGGUGUGAAAUCCCCCGGCUCAACCGAGGAAUUGCGCUUCAAACCGGCGAGCUUGAGGAAGAUAGAGGUGGGCGGAACUGAUGGUGGAGCGGUGAAAUGCGUUGAUAUCAUCAGGAACACCGGAGGCGAAGGCGGCCCACUGGGUCUUUUCUGACGCUGAGGGACGAAAGCUAGGGGAGCGAAC